GACGAACGCUGGCGGCGUGCUUAACACAUGCAAGUCGAACGCUGAAGCUCAGCUUUUGUUGGGUGGAUGAGUGGCGAACGGGUGAGUAACACGUGAGUAACCUGCCUCCUUCUUUGGGAUAACGCCCGGAAACGGGUGCUAAUACUGGAUAUUCACUGGUCUUCGCAUGGGGGUUGGUGGAAAGGGUUUUUCUGGUGGGGGAUGGGCUCGCGGCCUAUCAGCUUGUUGGUGGGGUGAUGGCCUACCAAGGCUUUGACGGGUAGCCGGCCUGAGAGGGUGACCGGUGACAUUGGGACUGAGAUACGGCCCAGACUCCGACGGGAGGAAGCAGUGGGGAAUAUUGCACAAUGGGCGCAAGACUGAUGCAGCGACGCCGCGUGAGGGAUGGAGGCCUUCGGGUUGUGAACCUCUUUCGCUCAUGGUCAAGCCGCAACAAUGGUUGUGGUGAGGGUAGUGGGUAAAGAAGCGCCGGCUAACUACGUG
rnacentral:rRNA from 1 species